GGUUGUGGCUCAGUGGUAGAGUGCUCGCCUAGUAAGUAAGCAUGAGGCACUAGGUUCAAUCCUCAGCACCA
rnacentral:tRNA from 1 species